rnacentral:ncRNA from 1 species
GGAGGUAGGCCCUCCGAACUCGCUGAGCAGGCAGAGAGUUCAAACCACCUCAAGCGGCGUUAGUAAAGAGCUAACGUCGUGAGCGUUGAGGCAAAAGGCCCGUCAUAACGGGUCAGGU